GACGAACGCUGGCGGCGUGCUUAACACAUGCGAGUCGAACGGAAAGGCCCUGCUUUUGUGGGGUGCUCGAGUGGCGAACGGGUGAGUAACACGUGAGUAGCCUGCCCUUGACUUUGGGAUAACUUCAGGAAACUGGGGCUAAUACCGGAUAGGAGCUCCUGCUGCAUGGUGGGGGUUGGAAAGUUUCGGCGGUUGGGGAUGGACUCGCGGCUUUUCAGCUUGUUGGUGGGGGAGUGGCUUACCAAGGCUUUGACGGGUAGCCGGCCUGGGAGGGUGACCGGCCACAUUGGGACUGAGAUACGGCCCAGACUCCUACGGGAGGCAGCAGGGGGGAAUAUUGCACAAUGAGCGGAAGCCGGAUGCAGCAACGCCGCGUGCGGGAUGACGGCCUUCGGGGUGUAAACCGCUGUCGCCUGUGACGAAGCGUGAGUGACGGUAAUGGGUAAAGAAGCACCGGCUAACUACGUG
rnacentral:rRNA from 1 species